UACUAUUGCCUUCAAAUAAAAUGAAGUUUUGGUUGGAAAAAGAUAGGAAAUAUCAUAUUUUGUCUUCUACAUAUUUGAAAUCAUCUUCUUAUUUUUAUCAUUAAGAGUACAAACUCCAUUAAAAAUAUUAAUGGUAUGUUUUUUAUUUUAUUUUAUUAAUUGUCCCAUGAUAAACAAAUUCUAAAAAAAAUCUAAUACAAAAAAUAGAUCUACUACGGUAACAUUAGUGACAUAUUUAAAUGUAUUUUAAUAUUAUCUUUACCCAUGAUUAAGACUUUAAAUUUACUUCCAAAAUUAACUUUUCAUUUAACCGAUUCAUCAGAUUGCAAAAACAAUUUUUUCUUAUCACACAUGUGAUUGUUGCGUUUUGUAUCAAAGAACCAAACAUCUUUAUGGUUUAUGUUUGAUGUUGUUACAUUAUAGACCAAUGUCAAAUUCUACUCAACCUCAAUGGUGUUUGUCAACUCUAUUGUUCAUUCUAUAAUUUCAUUCGACAUUUUGAAUCGUAGUGUCCAUACCACUUACAUCUAAAACAUUAUAGGUGUGACUUGUCUUUAGAUCCAAGAAUGUUGAUCAUUCCUUUAGAAUAAUUUUUAUUAUAUCUCCAUCUCUAUUGUUGGAGUUGUUGUGUCCUCCUCUACAUCCAUAAUCAUGACCUUUGCUACUUUAUUGAUCCUCAUGACCUCUUGUAGAUGUUUUACUUUUCAAGGCUUACUCCAAACUAGUAGAGUCAAUUAUUUUAUUCAUCCAUUAUUCAUGUGACUACAUACGCUCAUCAACCCUUCAAUUGUAAAAGUUAAGAUAUUUCUUUUUUCUUCAUUCGUUACAACAACAUAUUCAAAUUUUGCAUGUAAAAAUCGUAUGUAUGACUUUCUCUUAUAUUUUUUAAUCAUCAAGCCUUUCACCAUUAACCCACAUCUAGUUUAUAAGUACCCAAUCAAAAUAAUGUGAAAUCAAUUUAGAGCCAUUGAUAGGGAGAGACUUGAAUUCACAUCUUAAUGUUCGUAGCGCCAUUCACUUGACAUGAUCAUUACUUUAAUUUAUAUAAUUUGUGUAGAUUAAUCUAUACCUUUAUUUAUUUAUUUUUAUGCUUCUACUUUUGAAAUUUUCUUAAGUAUAUAUUCAUUUACUGCUUAGAAUAUUACAUAGAGUGCUUUUUGAUAUUUCUUUUUUGAGAAUCUUUCAAUAAGUCUUUUUACUCCUUUGACAGUGCCUCAAAUUCUUUUGAAUCAACCACUUUGUUGUAGUCGUGAUCCAUUAGACCCUAUAAAUCUUAAGAUCUAAAUAAGACACACAUUUAAUGCACUAGUUACUAAAAUUCUUACUUGUGAAUUUUAAGAGUUAAGGUUGAAUUGAUCUAUAAUUAUUUAUUGUCAUAAUAUCACUGACCAAAUUGUAAUUUUCUUGUUAUAUAUUUUGCAUAUUCUUAAGUAUUAUGGUACUUAUCUUCUCACUUUUCACCCUCCGUAAUCUUUUGGCUUUGAUAUGAACAAGGCUUUUAUUCUUAUACCACUUGUUGGUAGCUCUACUCUUCUAGCCUUUCAUCUUCCUUGAUCUUUUAUUGUUUGUACAUUUUUUUCAACAUAAUAAACUAAUCAUAUUUACACUAUACUUCCAAUUUAUAAUUAAAAAAAAAAGGUUUGAGAGUUGAAUAGCUAUGUAUCCAUGUAAACUUUGUUGCAAUGUAAUUAAUAAAUAAGAGUUAAUAUGAUUCAAACUAUCAUUAUAACUCAGAGUGAAAAGAAAAAAAGAAGAAGCUUCAAGCCAAGAUAAUAAGAGAAUGAAAUUGAGAUGAAUACCAAUAUUUGUUAUAAGUGAAAAAAAAAUAAUGAUCUAAGAAAGUCUCUUGCUCUUCAAAUUGAUAAAUGGUAGUUUUUUUCAUUCAUACUUUCAUUCGUUCAUGUACAGAGUAUAUAUAGAGGGUAAUCACCAUUCUAAGAAUGGGAAAGAAUGAUACAACGAAAGAAUGAUAUAAGGAAAUAACAACUAAUAUCCUAAUAUAUCAAUUUUCCUAAUAUCUCAAUAUUCCUAAUAUCUCAAUAUUCCUAGUAUCUCAAUAUUCCUAAUAUCUCAAUAUUCAUAAUAUCUCAACUUUCCUAAUAUCUAAACAUUCCUAAUAUCUCAACACUAAAUGAUAUAAGGAAAGAAUGAUAUAAGGAAAGCAUUCCUAAUAUCUCAACACUCCCCCUCAAGUUGGUGCAUAGAUGUCACACAUGCCCAACUUGUCUAAAAAUUUUGAGAACACUUAACUUGAGACAGCUUUGGUAAGGAUAUCGGCCAAUUGAUCUUCUGAUCGAAUCUUAGGCAAUUCCACAAUCUUAUCAUCCAACUUUUCCUUAAUGAAGAAUCUAUCCACCUCGACAUGCUUUGUACGAUCAUGUUGUACUGGAUUAUGAGCAAUGUNNNNNNNNNNNNNNNNNNNNNNNNNNNNNNNNNNNNNNNNNNNNNNNNNNNNNNNNNNNNNNNNNNNNNNNNNNNNNNNNNNNNNNNNNNNNNNNNNNNNUUUUCACAUCGAAUUGUUGUAAUGGCCAAUCUAGGUUUGCAGCUAAAGACAAUAAUACUCGAAUUGUGUUGAUCUUAGCUACAGGUGCAAAUGUCUCUGUGUAGUCAAUUCCAUAAGUUUGAGUGUACCCUUUUGCUACCAGUCUUGCUUUAAAUCAUUCAAUACUACCAUCUGCCUUGUACUUCACAGUAUAGAUCCAACGACACCCAACUGGCUUCUUUCCUGGUGGACAUUCUACGAGUUCCCAUGUUUCAUUCUUCUGCAAUGAUUUCAUCUCUUCAUUCAUGGUUGGUUUCCACCUUGGAUCAGCUAAGGCUUCCUGCACACUGUUAGGAAUAGAUACAGUAGAUAAUUGAUUUACAAAUGACUUAUUUGAUUUAGACAAACGAUGGGUAGACACAUAGUUGCUCAUGGGAUAUUUGACUUUAGUAGACAAUUCAGGUUCAUAUGUGGGUUUAGGAAUACCUCUAUUAUGACGAUGUGGUAACCGUUUCAUGAAUGGAUCAGGUUCCAAAUUAAGAACACCCUCAACAGACGACGAUUGGUUUGGUAUUUCAGUGAAGACAUCUUCGGACCCAAAUUGUUGACCACUCAUAUCCAACUCACCCACUUCCUGGUUCACUAGUUCAGAUUGUCCAGAUUCAUAUUCCUCAGAGAUAUGAUAAUCAUAAUCGAGAGUCUGAAUUUCUUUAUGAUACUCCCCCUGAAGUUUAGACUCAGAUGAAAAAUACAUUGAAUCUUCAUGAAACACCACAUCCAUUGUAAUAUACAUUUGUUGAGUUGGAGGAUGGUAACAUCGAUAUCCCUUUUUGUGCAAUGCAUAUCCAACAAACACACAUUGCAAUGCAUGGGAAGUUAACUUGGUGCGUUGGUGCUUGUGUAGAUGCACAAAUGCCACGCAACCAAAAACACGAGGAGGUAGAUUUGGGACGGUUGGGGCAACUAUGACAUUAGUAAGAGCUUGGAGAGGUGUUUGAAAGUUAAUUGAGCUAGAAGGUACCCGAUUGAUCAAGUAUGUGACAAAUGUGAUUGCUUCUCCCCAAUAAGAUAUUAGUGUUUUUGCUGCUAUCAAGGAAGCACGAACAACCUCUAACAAGUGUCGAUUUUUUCGUUCAGCGACUCCAUUUUGCUGGGGUGUAUUGGAACAAGUAGUCUGAUGAAUGAUGCCAUGUCCUUCCAAAUACUUUUGAAGAUUAGAACUUUGAUAUUCUCCACCAUUAUCACUACGCAGAACCCGAACCUUUGCAUUGUACUGAGUUUCAAUCAUUUUAUGAAAUUUUUGAAACAACAAGUUCACUUCACCUUUGGUCUUCAUCAAGCAUAACCAUGUCAUUCUGGUACAAUCAUCAAUAAAAGUAACAAACCAACGUGAGCCACUCAAAGUUGGGACUUUGGAUGGGCCCCAAACAUCAGAAUGUAUAACCAUAAAAGGGAACGGACUUUUAUUCAAAAUUAACGGAAACGAAGCACGAUGGCUUUUAGCCAAUUCACAAAUAUCACAACGGAAACCAGAAAUAUCACUCUUUGCAAACAAACUAGGAAACAAUUUUUUUAAAUAACCAAAGGAAACAUGUCCCAAACGUCGAUGCCAUAACCAAAUUUCAGAUUUUUUCUUCUCCCCCUCAGAUCCAUCUGCCAUCAAGGCUUAUUGCAAUUUAUUUGAAUCAUUUGAUUGCAAGUCCAAGUAAUAGAGUUUUCCCCGUUUAAUACCACAACCAAUCGUCUGUCUUGUUUGGAUGUCCUUAAUCACACAAAAUUCAGGCCAAAAAAUGACAAUACAAGAUAAGGCUGUAGUGAUUUGAGAAACUGACAAAAGAUUGUAAUAUAAAGAUGAAACAACUAAAACAGAAUCCAAAUUCAAAGUAUCAGUAAGAGUUAAGGAUCCUUUCCCAAUGACUGGGGUUGUGUUACCAUUGGCUGUGGAAACAAUUUUUUGUGAGGAAGGUCUAAGGGGUGAAACCUGUCUAGAAUCAAAAGUCAUAUGAUCUGUAGCACCAGAAUCAAUUAUCCAUGCACUAUUAAUAACAGGUGUAAAAGUAUUUAAAAACUUACCACCAUGAUCAGUAGCGGCUACCAAUGCAAAGGCUUUCUUAGUAACAUUAGUCUCUGUUUUUAUUUCGGCAACAGUUGCAGUCGAGGUUUUCUUGGGAUCUUUCUUCCGUUGAUCACAAUUAUUAUAAUUAAUAACAAAGUGUUGAUAGCCUAAACAUGAUCUAAAGGUCCAUGGUUCAAACCCUCGGUUUCUUAUUGUUUUCCUGGUCAUACCAAGAGUCGUUGCUUUGAAAUUGUGGGAUAUCCAGACUGGUGGGACUAGUCUUAUUGAAGUGAGUGCAUUUGAAGGUUGACUUAUCAAUAUUAGGGUUUGUCUUAGGAUGGUUGAUCGUUGUCGGACUACCAUAGUGACAAAAUAUCCAAGAUUUUAGUUCCAUGGCUUUGAUACCAUCUUCAAAUUGAUAAAUAGUAGUUUUUUUCAUUCAUACUUUCAUUCGUUCAUGUACAGAGUAUAUAUAGAGGGUAAUCACCAUUUUAAGAAUGGGAAAGAAUGAUACAAGGAAAGAAUGAUAUAAGGAAAUAACAACUAAUAUCCUAAUAUAUCAACUUUCCUAAUAUCUCAAUAUUCCUAAUAUCUCAAUAUUCCUAGUAUCUCAAUAUUCCUAAUAUCUCAACUUUCCUAAUAUCUAAACAUUCCUAAUAUCUAAACAUUCCUAAUAUCUCAACACUAAAUGAUAUAAGGAAAGAAUGAUAUAAGGAAAGCAUUCCUUAUAUCUCAACACUUGCAUCCAUAAUAAUUACAAAAAGAAAAAAAAAAAGGUUUGGCACACUAAAUAGCUUUGUAUCCACAUAACUUCUUAUAAAGAUAAAAUUAAUAAAUAAAUAAGAAAUUAAAGUGAAUUUGAUAGUGAUUCUAAAAAAUAUUUUUAAUCUUUAUAAUACUUAAAAAUAUUUAUUUUUCAAGAAUUAGAAAUGGUAAGAACACUUUCUAAAAUUACUGUCAAACACACUAUUAAUUUCAUUCAAAUUAUCAUUAUAAAUGUGAUUAGUAUUGUGUAUGGUUUUGGCGGUAUCAUGCCCAGCCAAAAUAAACUAAUAAAAAUUGUAACAUUUUUGCCGGCAAAAUAACAAGCGAUUGUUGAUUUGGUCUUUUUUUUUUUACUUUUCAUUCAUCAACCUUUAAUUCAACAAUAUAUGUUUUAGUCUAGAAAAAAAAUACCAAUAAUUAUAUAAGAAUAUUAUAAUUCUACAUCGUACAUGUUCACAAGUGGAAUUCAAUUUAACAUUAAUCAUGUAGACUCUUACAGGUAAUUGUGUAAAAAUGUUAUGGUAUCCUAUUUCUUUAGGUUAUGUUUGGUUUCAUAAGUUAUUAGGAAAAAAAAUGUUAAGGUUGGUUUUAAUAUAAAAAAUAUAAAAUAAAAUUAAAUAUAAUGAAAAUUAAUUACAAAUUUAUAUAUUUUAAAAUUAUUUAGUUUGUAUAUAUUAAAAAAAUAAAUGAAAUGAGUUUGAAAAACCAUAUGAAAAUAAUUUAUUAAUUUCAAAUCUAUUUUUUAUUUUUUCUCAAUUUUUCUUUCCUUCCAUUUUCCUCCCUAUUUUAUUUCUUUCAUAUUUUUUCUUAAAUUUUCCGAGAACCAAACGGUCUUACAGAAAUUAAGGACCUAUUUGGCAACUGUUUUCGAAAAUAAUUUUAUGUUCUAAAAAAUAAAACCAAGAAAACAUGUUUAAUAAUUAGAAAUUAUUUUCUGUUUAAUUUUAAAAACAGAAAACAAGGUGUUUUCAAAUAAUAUCUUUUAAUUGUUUUCAUUUGUUUUCUAAGGUUGUUGUAAAAAUUAAUUAUAAUGUAAAAUGAUUAAAAACAAAACAUUGGAUAAACAUAUUAAAAACAAGUUAAAAACAUUUCAAGUUUCUAAACAUAUUUUUAUUUUACACAAUAUUAGAGAACAAUAUUUAAAAAUUAUUUCGUGUUUGUUUUCUACCUAAUAAUUAAUAGAUGAAGAAGGAAACACAAAUCAAUGGAGAAGAAUGCUCAAUCCAACUUGAUUAGCAUCCAUUAACAAAUAAUUUUCUACUAACAUUGGCUGUGUCAUCAGCAACCUAAAAGUUAAAAUAAAGGAAUAAAACAAUGAUAUUUGGGUCAUUAAUUGACCUAUUUUCCAAUAUGAUAUAAUGAUGAUCUUCUCUCUCCGCUUUGGAUCUCAUCUUGUUGUUAUCAUAUCCUUUCCAUGCACGGUUGAAGAAUGUUUCACUAAGAUAGGUUGUUAUCACAUCAUUUUUGCCAACCGGCCCAUCUUUUUGUUUGGCAAGUACAUUGUUAUAGUAUGUAGCUCAUAUUUGAGUGAAAGACAUAUAGAAAAAAAAGGGCAAAUAUCGGAAUGACGACAUUUGCUAUUUAGGCUUGUAUUUCUAUUGUUGUAGGUGAACGAUAGGUUGGAGAGGCGCUGAUCCCAGUAUGGUUUAAGGGUAUUUUUGGAAUUUCAUUCUGAAGGGUUAGUAUAAAUACCAUUUUAUGUAACCCUAAUUUGAUAUAUUAAUAAAAAUCCUCUUCUUUGUUCCCGUCAACGUAGGCAAUUUGCGAAUCACGUUAAAUCUGUGUGUUCUUUCUUUCUCGUUUUCUUUAUUUUUCACACGGAUUCUAACAUACAUAGGCUACAACAACACCAUCAUUACUUCAGCACCAUAUGGCGAACACUGGCGCAAUCUCCGCCGCCUAAGCGCACUGGAAAUCUUCUCUCCGAAUCGCCUCAACAUGUUUAUAGGCACCCGCAGGGAUGAAAUCAAGAUUUUACUACACCGAUUGUCUCAGAAUUCAAGGGAUAAUUUUGCAAGGGUAGAGUUGAGACUAAUGUUUACAGAGCUAACAUGUAAUAUUAUAAUGAGAAUGGUUGCAGGAAAGCGGUACUAUGGGGAAGAUGUGGAUUUUGAGGAAGCCAAGCACUUUCAUGAAGUAAUGAGAGGGGUUUUUGAAUUGGCUGGGUAUCGAAUCCAGGAGAGUUUUUUCCUUUACUACGGUGGGUUGACUUUGGGGGUUAGGAGAAGAAGUUGGUGAAGAUCAAAACAAAGAAAGAGCUGAUCUCCUAGGUCUUGUUGAAAAGCAUCGAAGUCCUAACCGUGGCCUUGUGAAUAAAAACAGUAUGAUCAAUCUUCUGCUUUCAAUGCAAAAAUCAGAACCAGAAUAUUACACAGAUGAAAUCAUAAAAGGGCAUUCAUUGGUAACUUCAGUAUUGCAGGCAAACUGAUUCUCUUUAAGAUAUACCACUUUUCCUUAUCUUUAAGAUAUACCACUUUUGCCAAAAGAAUAAUGCUAUUCAAACCUAAAUUGGCCAGUUUGCUUCAUAGAAAAGACACUGAUCAGCAUAAAUGGUUCUAUUUUUGUUAAAAAAAUUAGGUCAUAUGCCAUUAAGCGUGCAGGAGAGGCAAGCCAACAAAAGUUGGGAAAUCAAGCAAUUUUUUUUAAAGAUAUUUGAAUGCUGCAUAUUAAUGGUCUAUCAAACGCAACUAGUAUUUGGAGUAUGAAAUUUCCAUUUUUUUUUUGUUUUUUGAGUAUUUAUAUUAAUGUUGGUGUCACAUGUGGUUUAAUUUUUCUCGAAGCUACAAAUAUUGUAUGCAGAUCUUAAUUCUUGUUGGUACUGAGACUACUGCAACAACAAUAGAAUGGGCCAUGUCUCUUCUACUCAAUCAUCCUGAUGUUAUGAAGAAAGCUAGAGUCGUAGAAUUGGACACUCAUGUCAGAAAAGACCGUUUGAUGGAAGAAUCCGAUUUCCCCAAAUUACACUAUCUUCAAAGUAUCAUUUCUGAAACUUUAAGAUUAUUUCCAGCAGCCCCAGUUUUGGUACCACGUAUGUCUUCAGAUAAUUGCCAAAUAGGAGGAUUUAAUAUACAAAGAGACACAAUAUUAUUGGUCAAUGUUUGGGCGAUUCACAGAGACCCUAAGUUGUGGAAAGAUGCUACAAGUUUCAAGCCAGAAAGAUUUGAAAAUGGAGAAAGUGAGACUUACAAGCUAUUGCCAUUUGGAUUGAGAAAAAGGGCAUGCCCUGGUGUUGGCCUAGCUAAUCGAGUAACAGCUAGGUUUGACUUUGGGGUCAUUGAUUCAGUGUUAUGAGUGGGAGAGAGCUAACGAGAAGGAAGUUGACAUGGCUGAAGGGAGAGGAAUCACCAUGCCCAAAUUAGAGCCAUUGGAAGGCAGUAAAGCGCGUGCUAUUAUAAAAAAGGUGUUAUAAAACAAUCCAGCAACUAUUGGCUGAUGUUAGCAUUAUAAUCAGCAUAGAGAUCCUCAUAUUUGGUGGGGCGUGAAAUUCAAGAAAGGCUUUCAAAUUUAUGAUGGAUUAAUGAUCAGACCUAUAAGAAGAGAGCAGGGGAUGAACAUUGGGAAAAAGAUGGAUGCAUUUAUGCAGAGCCAAUUCAUGUGCCAGGGCAAUUUGGCGAAUAGAAUCCUAUAUCUAAUAAUUUAAUUACCUUGCAAGAAUCAGAGCCACACUAAAUUAUCAAGAGACUUGUACCAGUUUGUAAACUAGUGGAUAUAUUGCUAUUAAUGUUUAACUCUAGUGGGACAUGAUAACACAUCUGUGAUAAUCCCUCAUGCCGAGCCUUUCAGAGGUGCUGGACAGCAUUGAGCCAAGUUGGAUACAAUUGCUUGAUUGAUGAACUGGAUCUCCUUAAUGGCAUUCCAUGCCCAAAUUGGAGCCUUUGGAGGCCAUGUAUAAAGCAGGAUGCAUUAUCAACAAGCAAGGCAGAAGCUGAAGAAGAAACCCAACUCCCCAACUCCCCAACUCCCCAACUCCCCAGCUCCCCAACUCCCCAACUCCAUUUUUGUCAAGAUGAUCACCACAUCAAAGCAUCUCCUUCAGCAGUUGGCCUAAGUAGCCAACUUGCCACAACAUCAUUGAAGAAGAGGGCUAAUCUAUUCAUCAAUUCAAAUCAAAACAUUGGUUUGCUUUUUCAAAAUUAAAUAGAGUGAUUGUAUAUACAUUCAUUCUCCAAAUUCCUUCUGACUUCCCUUGUUAGAUAAAUUUUGUUAUAGCUUCUAUAAAAAAAUAAGACUAAUUAUAAUAGAUUAUAUGCAUAAUUUAAUUUCAUUAUUUGUGUCUGAUUUAUAUUUUAGUCCGUUCUUUUGCAUGUGGUAUCAUUUAUUUUUAUAAGACUUGUUGCUAGAUUUUAUUUAUUUUGGCAUAUGAAAAUUGUAUAAAGCUUGUAUAAUGAUCGAAUGAAUGAUACUUGGCAUUCCACCCAAAACCUUGCCUAAUUAUUCAAUGAAUGAUAUUUGGCAUUCGGCCGCAACGUUCCCUAACCCUGUUAGGCAAGACGCGUGACAAUGAAUAACAACUGCCAUCCUUUACAUCUAAUCUCCUUCAUUGGAUUUCCAUAAAUAUUUUUGUCACUGGCACAGUUAAAGAUGGAUAAGAUCACGAGGAAAACAAUUUAAAAUGUUCAAGUAAAGUAGCUUUUGAAUAUAAGCUUGCGUGAAGAAAAAAAAAAAUAGUGUGGUUGUUUCCACUACGUACUCCAGUGCUUACCUUCAAUAGUCAACACUAAGUUAAGUUUGAAUAGCAUAUGCAUAUAACCCAUCUUUCUCUUGAUCAGUAUGUCAUCAACAAAACCAUGGAAUCUCUAUCUCUUCUCUUUCUCUUGUUUGCUUUCAGUGUCUUCCUCCAAAGAAGAAGAACACAUCCCCGCCUCCCACCAACCCCGCCUGCUAUUCCAAUUCUUGGUCAUCUCCAUCUCCUCUUGAAACAACCAAUUCAUCGGCAUCUACAGACUCUUUCUCAAAUCAGUCAUUUAUUCAUCGUUUGUCUAGGGAUUCCAGGGGUAAUUUUGUGAAGGUAGAGUUGCUGCUAAUAUUUAAUAUUAUAAUGAGGAUGAUUGCAGGAAAGCGCUACUAUGGUGAAGACGUGCACGUUGGGUGCAACAUCAAAUCCAACAGAUUUUUUUGCCUCUGUUGCGAAGGAUAGAUUAUGGAGGUUGUGAGAGGAAGAUGCAUGGCAAAUAUUAGUAUAGUGUUAGAUGCGAUCUUGCAAGGUUUUGAUUAAUGAGCAUACAAUAAAAGGGGUUUAGUGGAUAAUAAUACUAUGAUCGACCAUCUAUUAUCAUUGCAAAAAUCAGAACCAGAAUACUACACAGAUGACAUCAUUAAAGCUUGUGGAAUGACCUCGAAAGUUUUAAGCUGUAGAGGUUUGAGAAUAGGGAAAGAGAUAUAUCCAAACUACUGCUCUUCGGGGUGGGAAGGAGGGCGUGUCCUGGGAUUGGCCUACCAAACCAUAGGGUGGAUUUGGCUGUGGGGUCAUUAAUUCCAGAGUUUUAUUUGCAAGAAAAUAGACUAUAGGAAAAUUACACAUAAUAAUGAUGAGAUAUAAGAACAUGUAAUAGAAAUGAUAAUACUAUUUGAAGAAAAUAAAAGUGGACAAAUACUUGGUAUUUCUAUAUAUAAUAUAAAUUAUAAUAAUUUUUACAAAAAGUAAUUGUUAUUGGAAAAAACAAAUAUCAUUUGAAUUAAUUAUAUAUAAUAAUGCUAAAAUAUAAACGCAUAUAAUAAAAAUAAUAAUGCUAUUUUAGGGAAAAAAAAAUGUGGACAAACACUUCGUAUUUUUAUAUAUAAUAUAGAUUAAAAUAAUUUUUUAUAAAGAACAGGUUGUCAUUGGAAAAAACAAACAUCAUUUGAAUUAAUUAGAUAUAAUAAUGAGUGGAUAUAAUCACAUAUAAUAGAAAUAAUAAGACUAUUUUUGAAAGAAAAAAAAUUGUCAAAACACCUCUUAAUAUAUAUAUACACGCAUGAUAUAGUAUUGUUUCUAUUUCUAAAGAUUGCCCUCAGACUGCUGAAGCCUACCUGCAUCAGUAAAAAUUGAAUAACAUAUACUCAAUGUAUUUAGCGAGUCUCAUAGUAAUCUUAACGUAAACCUGGUGUGAGCUACUUCAAAACAUGCAUAUGACUAUUUCUGCUUACGAAACAGAGGAUUGUGGUUUACAAAUGUUGCAGUUUUGGCGAAGGGAGGUAACAGGAGCAAGAUUGAACAAGAAUGACAGAAGUUGAAAAAGAAACUCAACACUACCAUUAUCGUUAAGACUAUUAUAUCAACCAUUCUUACUAUAUGAGUUCUUUUUCAGCAUUUGGCCUCCCACGCAACCAACUCGCAACACUUUGGUUUGAGGAGAGGUCUUCCUCACACCAUCAUAAAAAAAGAGGCCGCCUCCACUGCCUCCAUUGAUGGUGGCGGCACUUUAGAUUUAGACUUUCAAGGAUAUAGUUGAUUGUUUGAAAUAAUGUUAUGGGUUGUCAUUGUGGUCUUGGAUUAUUGAUUUAGUGGUUUAUACAUAUAAAAAGAGAGAGAUAAGGCAAAACUAACAAUGGGUUUGGUAUUGAUUUUGAGAGAGUUAAAAGUAGUCCCCAUACUUGGAAACGCUUUCUAUACAAAAUUAGGUAUUUGAUAAACUUUUCAAAUUCUCUUUUAACAGUCUAGAAAAUUACUUGAGUUGAUUAAAGGAAAAUAAUUUGAUGCAUGGUUUUUCGAAAAUACUUUUAUAAAAUAUUGUAGAUAAAAGUGCUUUAAUGGAAAUAAUUUCUAAAUGUACUUUAAAUUUCAUAUUUUCAAACUUUCCUAAUCUUUCUUUAAGUGAAACUCAUUUUACCUUUGUCUAUAUGUUUUGACUCUUCACUGAUUUUUUCACCAUCUAAAAAUACUAUGUAAAAUAACGUGGUCAAACAUGAAUCUUGUUAUUAAUAAUUUUAAAAAAUAAAAUAAAAAGUAAAUAAAAAAUAAUAUGACAAGUUUUUUCUACUCAAUCGUACAAAUGUCUUAAAAAAAUAUUAAAAAUAGAGUAAUCAUGUAGGAAAUUAUUAUUUAAGAAAAGAAUCCACUAAGGUUAUUUGGAUAAAAUAUCCUUCUAUUUUUUAUUUUCCUUUUACAUAAGGAUUUCUCAUUAUUUUUAUCUUACCUUUUUUUUUCUUUCCUUUAAUCCUCACAAUAAAAAAAUUGUUAUAGUUCUCAUUAUUCUCUCAUCUCCUCUUUAUUAAUGGUCAUGAAAAAUGAAUUAAAAGAUAUAAAUAACCAAUAUUAUUUUUUCUUCAUAUUUUUUUCUAUUGAUGACAAAGAUUUCUAAAACCCUUACUUUAUUAUUACCAAACCAAGCAAAGGUCAAAUGAUGGCAUACAAUGGAUCUCAUGUAUUUAAAAUUAUACCAAUAUAACAUUAUUGGUCGAUUCUAACUCAAAAUAUUCACUUGCGUGUUUGGACUUCAGAGUUUGCGAGCGUGGAAAGGUUUUUAUUAUUAUUAAGAAUUACAAGAAGUUUUUAAUUCUUCCACAUUUCGCGUCGUGCCUGACAUCAUUCGUAGGUCUACCUCAUGCAUGACAUCAUUUUUUCUGGACUCCUUCUCUAAUCGUACGAGCUGUUUUUUCUUUCCUUUCAUAAUUUCAUUCGUGGGCAAUUGAGGCAGGCAGAAAGGGAGGAUGCAGUCAAAGAAGUCGGAUGAGAGAUAGUGGGUGGUUUUUGUAUUUUUUUGGUACUAUAAUUUGCUUUAAGGUUAAACACAACUUAAUCUCAUUAAUUAAUCAUUAUAAAUAUUUUAUUGUUUUAAAAUUUAAACACUGAGCUUGUUUUUUUAUUGACAUUUCAAAAUAUGAUUACAUACUAAAUAAAUCAGAUUUAUUUUUGUAAAAAUAAUUAUUUAUUUUUCUUGUUUUAUAUAAUUAAGAUAAAGAUAUUUGAAAUAAAAAAUAAGUAAUUUAACAUAUUUUUAAAUAUCCCAAAAUAUCAGAUUACAUUAUAAUAACAAAAAAUUUAAUGAUGAUAAAAUAAUUAGUAAUUAUAUAGUAAUUAAAGUUUUAAAUUAUAUUUGGUUGCUAAGAAAUGUUAGAAAUAUUUUAUGUAAACUUUUAUAAAAUACUUACUGGGUUGUAUGUGACACAUAUUUGGAUGUAUUGAUUUUUUAUUUAAAUGGUUAAUUUAUUAUUUUUAAAAUUUUCUAUUAUGGUAAUUAACAACAUCAAAUCAUACAUUUUUAUUUUUAAUAUUAAUUAAAAAAAUUAUUUGAGUGAAUGUUUACAUAAAUGUGAAUUGGGUUUUGGAGUUAUAAUUAGAGAAAAUAUAUUUGAAUUAAUGUAGAUAAUUCAAAUAUUAUUAAGGUAAGCAAUGAAAUCAUUAAAAUUGAAACAUGAUCAGGUAAAAAACUUUGUCCUCUUCCUUGUUGAUCAUUCUAUAAAUAAAGCAUAAAUAACCAGGGAAUGCACUUGUAUCUAAGCCUACCUUUCCUUUCACUUCUUCAGUGUCACUACCAUGGAUGUGUCUUCCCUUCACACAUCGCUCUCUCUUCUCUUCGUGUUUCUCUUGCUUGCUUUCGGAAUCUUCUUCCCAAGAAGACGAAGAUAUGGGAAUCUCCCACCCAGCCCGCCUGCAGUUCCGAUUAUAGGUCAUCUCCACCUCCUCAAACAACCGGUUCAUCGAUCUCUACAACUCCUUUCACAAAAGUACGGUCCAAUCUUCUCCCUCCGAUUCGGAUCCCAGCUCGCGGUCAUCGUUUCCUCUCCCUCCGCCGUCGAAGAAUGCUUCACCAAGAACGACGUCGUCUUGGCCAACCGCCCUCGCUUUGCGUCCGGCAAGUACAUGGGGUACAACUACACCACCGUUGCCGCGGCAUCAUACGGCGAACACUGGCGCAACCUCCGUCGCCUCAGCGCCCUGGAAAUCUUCUCCUCCAAUCGCCUCAACAUGUUUCUAGGCAUCCGCAGGGAUGAAGUCAAGCGUCUACUCCUCCGACUGGCUCGAGAUUCGAGGGAGGGUUUUGCAAAGGUAGAGCUGAGACCCAUGCUUACAGAGCUAACCUUUAAUAUUAUAACGAGGAUGGUUGCAGGAAAGAGAUACUACGGAGAAGACGUGGAAUAUACGGAGGCUAAACGUUUUCGGGAGAUUAUCAGCCAGCUUUUCGUACUGGUUGGGGCAUCAUCAAAUCCAGCAGAUUUUUUGCCCAUAUUGCGAUGGACUGGGCUCGGAUACCAUGAGAAGAAGCUAAAGAAUAUCAUGAGAGAGACAAAGGCGAUCAUGCAGGGUUUGAUUGAUGAGCAUAGAAGUGGUAAUGACAAGGGUUCGGUGGAUAAUAAUUCUAUGAUCGACCAUCUGUUAUCCUUGCAAAAAACAGAACCAGAGUACUACACAGAUGACAUUAUUAAAGGGCUUGUACAGGUGAGUGAAACGCUGUUUUCGUAUCUGCUGUAUUUUCAAAGUUUAUUCUAAAAUUUCACAGAAAACAAAAAUAAAAGUGCAGUUUAAUACUUGUAGUGGGAAACUUGGUUUUUGAAGUGUAUAAUGUUGGUUUUUUUGUGGGUUUUUUUACUUCUUUUUUCAUCUCACAAAUUCUUCAAUACAGGUCUUAAUUCUUGCUGGAACCGACACUUCAGCAUCAACAAUGGAAUGGGCAAUGACCCUUCUCCUCAAUCAUCCGGAUGUUUUGGAGAAAGCUAAAGCAGAGUUGGAUAUGCACGUUGGAAAGGACCGCUUGAUAGAAGAAUCUGAUCUUCCCAAACUGCGGUACCUUCAAAGUAUCAUUUCUGAGACUUUGAGAGUAUUUCCUGUGACCCCUCUGUUACUGCCCCAUAUGUCCUCAGAUGACUGUCAAAUAGGGGGUUUUGAUAUACCACGAGGCACAUUAUUACUGGUAAAUGCAUGGGCCCUUCACAGAGACCCUCAGGUGUGGGUAGAUCCUACAAGUUUCAAACCUGAAAGGUUUGAAAAUGGAGAACGUGAGAAUUACAAACUAGUACCAUUUGGAAUAGGAAGAAGAGCCUGUCCUGGAUCUGGCCUAGCUCAGCGAGUGGUGGGUUUGGCUUUGGGGUCGUUGAUUCAGUGCUAUGACUGGAAGAAGAUUAGCAACACCGCUAUUGACACCAUUGAAGGGAAAGGGCUGACCAUGCCCAAACUGCAGCCAUUGGAAGCCAUGUGUAAGGCACGUGAGAUUAUAAACGAGGUUCACUUGAACUAGAAAACAAUAUUUAGUUGGUAUUAGUACUCUGGUAUUUUGCUUGUAUUGAUGCAAUAAGCAUUCUCUGAUGCAUUUCGAGUAUCGUCCCCGUUAUAAAUAUGUAUUAUAUGCUAAGAUUGUCGUUAUGUCGAUUAUCAUACUAGCAGAUUUCUUUUGCUUUGGAGAGCAGAGUGGAAAUCUAAAUCUUAAAAUCAUAAUAAUAAAAAUAUUGAAAUAUUUAAUUUCUCAUUUGAAUAUGCCUUUUUUUUUUUUGCCUGUUAAAUUUUUAAAUUGAUCGUUUUCCUCUUUGAUUUUAAAACUUAAUGGUUCUGUUGAAUAUAUUUGAGAAUGAAAAAAAAAAUCAUUAUUUUUUGUUUGAGAAUGUGUGCCAAUGCUGUGCAGAUGAAUGAACUGUUGCAUGAUAAUGGACUAACAAUAUGUGUCAAAUUGACGAUCAUUCUAACUUUGUCUAAUUCAUAUUAUAUCAUUUUUCUGACUUGAAAAAUCUCCCUCCAUUAUCCUCUCCCAUGACUUUAAUUUCACAUCACUUUUCAACCCAAAGUUGAAGCUCAACGCCAUGAUUAUCAUGUUGACCAACGUAACGAGAAUUUCCAUUCGUCGAGGCUCAUUCCAAAUUAAAGCAGACAGCCUGACCAUACUAUUGCGUGGGCCUUAAAUUUUCUUUAGUCCAGAAUCUCAUAUCAUUCAGUCUUAUCUUAAUUUUCUGGAUUAUCCUCUCCACUAUGGAUAAUUGUGUUUUGGAUCCAACUGAACUCAAAAAUUAAUAUUUGGUUCAUAUAAUUUACAUAACUAAUAAAAAUAAUAUAAGAUGUUAAGAAAUCAAUACACCUUUCAAAUUUUUAUAUAUUACCUUUUAAAAAUAUAAAAUAGUGAUGAACUAAAAUACCUAAUAACCUUUCGGAUAAGCUUUUUUAAAAUUUGGAUUUUAAUAAUUUUUACACUACUAUUCAUGCAACCAUAAUAAUUCUAUUUUAACAAUUUGAAUUUUUCAUUGUUUUUAAUUUUUUAUUAUAAAUAAUUGAAAAUCAACAUUAUUUUCUAUUUUAAAUUAUAAAUAAAGAAAAAUUAUGUUCAAAAACUAUUUUAAAAAAUACUUUCUAAAAAAAUGGUAAUAUGAUUUAUAUUUUUUAUAUUUUAUUUUUGAAAAAACAUUUAAUUAAAAAAUGAAAACUAUUUUUAAAAAUAAAAAUUGAAAACCUUGUUUAGUACUAUUUUUUAUGUGAAAAUAAUAAAAAGAAUUAAAUUUUAUUUAUUGAUUAUCCAUUUUUAUUUUUUUUCCAUUAGUUAUUUUAAUAAUAAUAAUAAAAAUAUAGUUGGUUUACAAUUAAACAAAUGAAUUGGUUAAUUAUAUGUUUUUUUAUGUGACUAUCUUUUACAUGAAAAAUAAUUAAAUAACUAAAUUAUAUAUGUUUAUUACUAUUUUUAAUUUUAUUUUCUUUAUUUAUUUUUUGUAUAAUAGAAAAUUUUAAUAUAUCCAUAAUUAACAAAGUAAUAGAUUAAUUGUACACAUUUUGAUUUAUUAAAAUAAAUUAAUUUCUAAUUUAAAUAAAUAAAAUGAAAUAAGUAAAUAAAUUUGAGGUUAUUUCUAUUUUUUAACAUAUCUUAUAUUAAUAUUUUUUAUAGUUAAAUAAAUUUUUUAUUAUUUUUUUCUUUAAUUCCAAAAUAAAAUAAAUAAAUAAAUAAAUAAAUUUGGUAUUUUCUAACUGAUCUUAUAUUCAUAUUUCUUAUGAUUAAAUAAAUUUUUUAUUCUUUUUUCUUUAUUUCCAAAAAUAAAAGGAAAUAAAUAAAUAAACUUGGCUUAAAUAAUAAUUUUUAAGUAAUUUCUUUGUCUUAUUUUUAAUUACAUUUUGUAUUGAAAAUAAAAUAAAAUAACGUUUUAUUUAACUCGCAUAUGACAAUUCGAAUACUUAUCCCACUAAUGAUGUUUGAAAGAAAAUUUUGUUUUUCUAUCUUCUACUAUUUUUUGAACCAAACCAAUGAAAACAUGGUUAAUCUACGUAUGAUUACACAUUGAGUAGGGGUAUAUGAAAUUUUGAGUCACUGUACAAGGUAUUUACACUAAGUAUACAUGAUAAAUAUAUUAAUUGUAUUAGGGUGUACAAGACUAUUAUUUGUGAAAAAUUUUGAGUGAUUCUGAAAAACUUGUUUAUUUAUUUUUCCUAACUGAUGAUAGAUGACAUUCCUUACACACAUUGGUUAAGUAUACAUUCAUUUCAUGCAUUUUAUCUAAUUUGUAUAUGGUCAUUUAAAUAAGUACCUCACUUAUGAUGAUUGUACAAUAAAAUUAUACAACAAUUUUUCUUCUUUUUUAAAACCAAACUAAUGCAAACAUGGUUAACUGAAUUAUUGUCAGAUAUUCAUGAAAUGAUGUAUGAAAUUUGAGUUAUUAUACAAGGGUGUUACACUAACUGUACAAGACAAAUUUACUAAUUGUAUAAAGGUGUAUAAGAUUACUUUUUGUUAAGGAUUUCAAGUGAUUUUGAAAAACUUUCUCAUUUUUUUAACUCAAGGAUUUUUGCGCACUCAAAUUCUCUCACUUAAGAAUUGUUUCGAAUUUUAUUUUUAAAUUUUAUCAUCAAAAUUUUGUAAUUGCAUAUUUCGUUUUUUUAGUUUUAGUAAUGUUCUUUCUUUCCACUAUUUUUUUUUGUGAAAUUUUAUCCAAUUUAAUCUAUAUUUAAAAUUAUAAUCAUAUUUAUCAAAUUUUUUUACUAAAAUUAUCUUUAAUUUUUUUAAUAUAUUUAUACUCAUUUAUUUAAAAAAAUGAAAAACUAAUUUUUUUUUAUAAACAUGUUCUAUUAUCUUUCAAGUAAAAAUUAGAUAAGUUUGAAAGUUAAUAAAAAAAAUUAAAUACCACUUUCAAUAAAUUGUAUUGACAGUUUUCUUAUUGUGAGUCAAAAUACUUUGUAUUAGUCUAUCUAUAUAAGAAAAAUUAUUAAUAUAAUAUUAGAACUUUAUAUCUUAGUUAUUUUUUUCAAUAAAUUUAUCUUUUAAAAAAUUUUAAAAUAAAAACAUUAAAAAUUAAAAAGCUAAAAGGAUAUAUAAUAAGAGUGAAGUGAUAGUCAUUUUUAAAAUUUUUUAAAUAUGGUUAAUGUAGAAUAUAUAAAAAAUAAUUAAAAAUAAGAGAAAAAGUAUAAAUGAAAGGGUAAUAUAAAUUUAAAAUAAAAAAUGAAAAUUAAACUAAAAGAUAAAUACAAAAGAUAAAAAAUAUUUGGAUGAAAAAUUCCAAAAUUUUUAUCCUUACUUAUAAUAAGAGUAAAAAGAUUCAAUAUAUUUAAAAAUAAAAAUUAAAAAAAAUAAAAAUAUUAUUACUUUUUAUUUGACAUAAAAUAGAAUUAUAGAUUGGAAAAAAAAAAGUUAGAAAUGGGUAAUACUUAAUAGGGAAUAGAAAAGGGAAAAAAACACAAAAAAAUUAAAAUUCACACUCACUAUGUGCUUAUGUAAGGGUUAAGGGUAUUUUAGGGAUUAAUGAAAGACAAUAUUAUUCUUCUCAAUUUUCAAACUUUUUUUUGGAUGUUGGACUUAAUUAUGAAAGAUAUAUGAAAUCGAUUUUAAUUUUGGCUCACCAAAACACAAUUCUCCCAAAAUGAAUUUAUCAGAAUUUGUGUUAAACAGGCCGCCUCCACUGCCCCAUGGAGGAUGGCGGCGCUUCAGGCGUAGACUUUCAAGGACAACUUGGCUGUUUGAUACAUUUCCUAUAAAAAAUAGGUGUUUGAUAAACUUUUGAAAACCUCUUUAUCUAUUCCUAUCACAGUAUGAUGCAACUUUAUCACAAGAGUCUACUCAAUGUAAGACAAACUCUCUGAUUGCUUAAUAUUUUUUGUAUUAAAAAGAAUAGUUUACACCUCAUUCAUAAUCGAUUAUUGUCUUUCUUAUUGAAAGUGUAGCCGCCUGUCUCAUGUGAUUUUGGCAGGGCUGUCAAUAAAAUAAUAAUUUUAUCUUCAUCUUUAAUCUUAAUUUUUAUUCUCAAUAAAUGAGUUAUGCAAUUCUUAAAUUUAUUUAUGUGAUCCUUAAGAUUUGUUCUUUCAUCCAUUUUGAACUCAUAUAAUUACUUCUUCAAAUAUAAUCUAUUUGUUAAAAAUUUUAAAAUAUAAGUUUUUUUUGUCAUUUUUGCCAUAAAUCAGAAGAAGAUCUUUCAUUCAAAACACUAUAUUUUAGUUAACGAGUUAGACUUAAACAAAUAGCAUUUACUACUUUUGCUUUAAUUCUUCCCAUUGUUCAUCCACUAUGCUCUUCGGUUUCUUAUCUUGUAAUGCUUUAAAAAGUCCUUGUUGCACCAAAAUAUCUAUAACCAUAUUUUGCUAAAUACGGAGAUGAUUUUUUCCAUCAAAUGACUUACUAUCAUAUUUUAUACCAAACAUCAUCUUUAAAAUAAUUUUUCUAUGGUUUUCACACUAUGACUCUAGUACCACUUGUUGAAAGAAAUCACAAUACCCAAAUGUAUUUUGAAACAUAAAGAAAAUUGUGGACUCCGCAUUUCGACCCAUGCGUUUUCACUCGAUGGCGAGCUCAAUUUUUAUUUGAAAAUGAUUUUAUUUAUUAAAAAAUGACUUGGAGUCGUCACUUAUUUUUACUUUAUUUUUUAAAAGGGUAAAUAAAAUAAGAAAGAAAACUCUAAGUGUGACUCAUUAUUUUGAAAAAGGUGGUCUAUGAAAAAUCGGAUCGGGUUCGAGGGUUAGGUUACUUAUCAGGAAGGUAUGGUAAAGACUGUAACACCCUUUUAAGUCCCUAAAAUCGGGUCUCUACUAAUAAAAUGAAGCUGAUGUGGCAAUCAAUAUGGAAAUCAAUGGAUACUCAAAUCGAUUAUGCACCUAUGAGAAUCAAAACAUGCAUAAAGAAUGACCAAAAUGAGAGUAGAUGCAUACCUGGGCCACGAAUGAGCAAUGUGCUAUCAUAAAAAAUGGGGUCAAUGUACAAUAAAGAACACAAAACAUAUCACCUGUAUCACCAAACAAAAAUUAAAAUUGUUCGAGGAAAAACUGGAUUUUUGAAAAUUGGAGUCUUAAAGAUUAUUUGAAAAUUGAUAUUUUAGAGAUUAAAUGUAAGAAUGAGAAUUUUAAAAAUUAAAUUUGAAGAAAUUUUGAAAGUUAUUUGAGAGUUUGGGAUUUAAAAAAAUUAAAUUACGAAAAUUGGGAUUUUGGAAAUUAAAUUUUAAAAGAAAUUAGAAUUGAAAAUUAUUUGAGAAGUAGAAACUAUGAAAAUUGAAUUAUAAAAAUGAAAAUUAAGUUCGAAAAUUGGACAAUUGGAAUUUCAGAGAACUAAAUUUGGAAAUUGAAAUUUUGAAAAAUUAUUUUAAAACAAAAUUUUAAAUAAAUGAAUAAGUGAAUAAAUAAAUGAAUGAAAUAAUAAUAAUGACGAAAUAAUAAUGAUUGGAUACAUAAUUACGGAAGUUAGGAUUUCGGAAAUUGGAAAUUGAACUUAGGGAUUGAAAAUUUAAAGAAUUAUAAAUGAAUAAGUGAAUAAAUAAAUGAAUAGAAUAACGAAAAUAAUAAUGAUUGAGUAAAUAAUUAUGAAGAUGGGAAUUUUGGAAAUUGGAAAUUUGAAGAAUUAUUUAGAGAGGGAAUUUUAAAUAAAUGGAUAAGUGAAUAAGUAAAUGAAUUGAAUAACGAAAAUAAUAAAGAUCGGAUAAAUAAGUGCGAAAAGUAAAAUUUUAGAAAUUGGAAAUUAUUUAGAUAUUGAAAAUUUGAAGGAUUAUUUAGAGAUAAAAUUUUAAAUAAAUGAAUGGAAUAAUAAUAAUGACAAAAUAAUAAAGAUUAGGUAAAUAAUUGCGAAAAAUAGAAUUUUAAAGAUUGGAGAUUGAAUUUAGAGAUUGAAAAUUUGAGAAAUUAUUUAGAGAUGAGAUUUUAAAUAAAUGAAUAAGUGAAUAAAUAAAUGAAUGAAAUAAUAAUAAUGACAAAAUAAUAAAGAUUAGAUAAAUAAUUGUGAAAAAUAGAAUUUUAGAGAUUGAAGAUUGAAUUUAGAGAUUGAAAAUUUGAGAAAAUUAUUUAAAGAUGAGAUUUUAAAUAUAUGAAUAAGUGAAUAAAUAAAUUAAUGAGAUAAUAAUAAUAACGAAAAUAAUCAUUAAACAACUGAAUGUGAAUAGUUGAAUUUUUGAGAUUGGAAAUUAAAUUUGCAAACGGAAUUUUAAAAAAUUGAACUUUAAUGAUUGAAAUUUUUAAAAGAAAUAAAUAAAUAAAUAAAUGGAAUAAUAAUAAUAAUAAUAACGAAAAUAAUAUUUGAACGAAUGAACGUGAAUAGUGGAUUUUUGAGAUUAAAAAUUAAAUUUGAAAGACGAAAUUCUUUUUUUUUAUUUAUAAAAUAUGUUUAAAGAUUGGAAUUUUUAAAAUAAAUAAAUAAAUGAAAUAAUAAUAAUAAUAACAAAAAUAAUACGAUGAACGUGAAUAGUAAAAUUUUUGAUAUUGAAAAUUAAAUUUGAAAAACGGAAUUUUGAAGAAUUAUUUGAAAGUGAAAAAUGGAGGAUUAAGUCUAAGAAAAUGGCAUUUUGAAGAUUUAUUUGAGAAUGAAAUUUUUGAAGAUUUAAUUUAAAAGGAAAUAGAGUUGCGAAAAUUUAUUUGAAGAUAACAUUUUAAAAAAGAUUAAAUUCGAAAUUAUGGAAUUUUGUUGGAGAAUUAAAUUUAAAAAUUUGAAUCUUGGAGAAUUAGGCCUAAAAUUAGAACCUUAGAAAAUGGAAACUUGGAAAAUUGAAUUUAAAAAAAAAAAGAAGUUUAGUUAAAUUGAAUUUUUGGUAAUCAAAGUUUUAUAAACUAAAUUUAAAAUCAAAUUUCAGGAAAUUAUUUCGAUAAUGAUAUUUUGUAUAAUUAAAUUUAAAAAUGGAGUUUUGGAAAAAUUAACUUGGAUAUCAAAACACGAAGAAAUAACAAAAAUAAAUAGGUAAAUAAAUAAAGGUAUGGUGAUUUAGGCCAAAAGUGGCCAUGCAAAAUGGGGCCCGGGGUUGCUAUCAGGAUUGCAACCGAAGGUUGAGAACAAUCAGGUGUUGUUUUGUUCAGGGUACUUGAAAUAGCAGAAAAAUUCAUAAGGCAUUUCCCUGUCAAGAUUGGCUCAUAUGUAGCCGGAAAGGAUGGGUACAUUGGUGAAAAAGGUUCUGUAGGAGAUGAAAGAUGUGGAAGAACAUCAGGUGAUAUUUCUAAGGGUUCAAAGAGAUCAGUAUUAUGUGGUUUUGCCAAAUCAGUCGUGGAAGAUACAUGAUUAUACUUAACAAGUGUCAGCUGUUCCACUACAUCUUAGAAUCUGGAUAACCAGAUGGUGAAUAAAAAAAAAACUGAUUGCAUAAAGAACCCUUAUGACGAGUAAUGGUCUGUAGACAACAACAUACCAAAAUAAAGGCCUAUUUCCCUCAGCUGUAUAUCCAAAAACAGCUCACAACAACAUACCAAAACUUGAAGAUGGGGAGCCCGGAAACCAUUUUUCGAGGCGAGAUCAUGCUGUGGGGGUAAUGGACGAUGAACCUGGGGGUGAGAGGAGCUGUGGUGUUUUGUGAUGAAGAUGUUUCCCGUCAGAACAACGGCGGUGAAAAGGCUCAAACUCCGGCCAUUGCUCUUCGUCUCCGUGAAAAACUCACGGCUGCCAACAAAACAUUGGAUCGAUCCGCAAGCCAAAAUGAUCCAAUUCGAGGAGCUUUGUUAUCAGAGGAAGCGUAUGGAAAUUGGGCCAGAAAUGGCAGAAGAGGAGGUCACAAUCAAAACCAUUGAAGAAAACUCUCAAGCUUUCUCUCUCUACAAACUGAAAAUUCCCCUGCUAAUCUUCUUCUUCCUCUUUUCUCUCCGUUUCUCUAAUUUCUCACUCUUCCAAAAUAUCUCCCGCCCUCAAGCUCUCAAAAAUUCCCCAGAACCCCACUCCAUCUCUGGAAAACUCACCCCAAAAGAACCCCAUUUCUCCCGAUUUUUUUUUUCUUCUCUCUCCCCUCAAAAAUCUUCUUCCCGCUCAGUUUUUCUUCUCCCACAAGUCUGCACCUGCUUCCUGCUACCACCAUGCCGUCUUUGCCACAUGUCCCAUGCGGGUUCACCUGGAAGUUGUCCCCUACUUUCGAAUGACUCUUUUCGGAUUUGAGAAAAAAAUAUUGGUCCAAGAGGGGUCCACAAAAAUAAAAAUAAUUAAAGAUUUAUGUUAUUUGGUAUAAUUGCCUAUGCCUAUUAGAUAGGAGGAUCGAAUUUAUUAAUGGUCAUGAAAAGGAAUUAAGACUUAUGAAUAACCAACAUUAUUUUUUCUCCAUAUUUUUUUUUCUUUUUCUUUUAUGAAAAAGAAUUUUAAAACUCUUUACUAUUUCUCAACUAAGCAAAAAACUCACCACUAUUAACUAUGAAAUAGUGUUAAGUGAGGAUAUGAUAAGGUCAAAGAAUGAUAAAUAAUGAAUCUCAUGUAUUUAAAUUAUGCUGAUUUUAAUAUUAUUGGUUAGUUCUAAAUCAACCUUGAACUUGAUUAUUAGAAUAACAAUAAAACUAUAUUUAAAUGAUAUCUAAAAUGUUUUGAAAACAAUUUAAAUUUUAUAAAUUAAGUACUUAUAGACAUGUGAGAAUGCAAAUAUCUAAUUUUCAAUAUAUCCAUGAUUAAAAUAAUUAUAUUUUUAUAAAUAUUAUUAUUUAGAAAUAAUAUGUAAGUCAAUUAAUUGAUAAUAUUAUUAUUUAUAAAUAAUAUAUCGACAAUAAUUAAUAAUUAAUAUUUAUAUAUUGAAUCUAGUACAUAAAAUUAAAUAAUUUUAUAAUACAGAUAUUUUAAAUAAUUUUAUUGUUAUAAAAAUAUAGUUUCAAACCAUAUUAGCAUUACUACAUUUUUUUUAGAAUUAUUAUUAUUUUUUUUGAAAAAAUCAUAUUUUCAAAAAUAUAUAUAUUAUAGGUUUAAAAUAUGAUUAAAAUAAUUAUAUUUUUAUAAAUAUUAUUAUUUAGAAAUAAUGUGUAAGUCAAUUAAUUGAUAAUAUUAUUAUUUAUAAAUAAUAUAUCCACAAUAAUUAAUAAUUAUUAUUUAUAUAUUGAAUCUAGUACAUAAAAUUAAAUAAUUUUAUAAUACAAAUAUUUUAAAUAAUUUUAUUGUUAUAAAAAUAUAGUCUCAAACCAUAUUAGCAUUACUACAUUUUUUUUAGAAUUAUUAUUAUUUUUUUUGAAAAAAUCAUAUUUUCAAAAAUAUAUAUAUUAUAAGUUUAAAAUAUGAUUAAAAAUAAGAAACGUCUUUGUAAGAAAUUAUUUCAAUAUAAUUGUAUUUUUUUAUCUUUUAGAGAAAACUAUGAUUUUUGUUUUAAGAUUUUUUUAUUUAUUUAAGAAAUCAUAUUUUAAAGAAACAAUUUUAUUUAAAAAAUAGAGAUACAAACAAAAUAAAUAAAUUCGGAAAAAAAAACUUAGAAGUGAUAUUUUAUCAAAAAAAAAAAAAAAAAAAAUGUACAUCAUUCUCCAAGUAUCUAAAAUAUAACCCAAGUGUCAAAUCAAUUCAAUUCACCACCAAUUAUUCCAUAUUAAAUUAAAUUCAUCGUCACUUUUCCAAACAUUCACCAAUAUAGCACAGUGGGUCAACGGAUAAAAUAAAUCUGAAAAAAAAAACUUAAAUAUAGAAUUUUAUCAUGAAAAAAAUUGAAUAACAUAUAUUAUAUGUUUAGAUUACAACCCAAAAGACCUGAUCAUCAAACUAUGCCCCAAUUAAUACCAGAAUAAAUCAUAAGCAAGUCGGUCAGAAACAGAGCAUAUUUCAUCAAUAACACAUAAAAAAAAAAAAAAUUAACCUAUUUAAAAGCCUGAUAAAAUUCACACAAUUAAUUCAACAUGUCUACUUUAUAAUCACAUAAGAAUGAUUUUUAAAAUAAGACAAAUAGACCCUGAUUGCAGGAUAGGUAAGUAAGUGGAAAAAUAAUUUUUUUCUCCUACUUGGGGAAUCAAUUUUUAACAAAUGAAGAAUAUGAAGUAAUUAAGAAGCUUAGAUUAAAUAAAAAAAAAAAGAAAAGAAAAGGAAAGAAAAGAAAAAGAAAUAACUUAGUUUUUCAUAAUCAACUUGAGUGUCCAAAACAAGGUCAGAUUGGGAAAUGUGUAAAAACUAACUUAAUUCUCCUAAUUGAAAAAGGAUUUUAAGCCCAAACAAAAUUUAAUUAACAAGUUUUAAGAAGUGAAAAUAUAUUUCAAAUAUAAAUUUUUUUUUAGAAAAACCCUAAAACAUUUGUUUUUAAUGGUUAGAAAUACAUCAAACAGUGAUAUUAGACUUUUGAGAAUUUAAAGUAUGUAGGGCUCACCAAAUCCCUAUUUACUAUACACUAGUUUAAUUUAUGUAUCCUCAACCUCAUAUGAACAUUAUAGUAAGUUCAUCAAGCUUAAAUUUGAAGUAUGUAGGGCUCACCAAAUCCCUAUUUACCAUACACUAGUUUAAUUUAUGUAUCCUCAACCUCAUAUGAACAUUAGUAAGUUCAUCAAGCUUAAGGAUGAUUCCAUUUUUAUCCAGAACCAUGAACUUUGAUUUGUGUUUCGAAGAAAAAGAAAGUAAUUUUUUAAAAAAUAAUGAAAAGAUGCAUACAAUUAAAAAUUGGUUGCAUUUCCUUUUACAUAAAAAAAAUUUAAACCCUAGUGACCCAAGAUAACAUUUUUAAGAAAAGUUUAAAAAUUAAUUUUUUAAGAAAAGGAUAUGAAAAAGUAAUAUUUUUGCCAAUAAAACACACAAAAUAUUAACUGUAACCACUCCAAAAAAGUGUAGGAUGACAUACAAUUUAAUUAAUAUCUAUAAUCAUUACCAAUAAACAACCACAAAAGGACCCAAUGGAAGACCAAAAUGAGUAACCUAACCCUCCUAUCUUAUAUAAUCAGGGCCUAAAUUGAGUGAGAAUAUGCCCAUAAAUAACAAACCUAACCCUAACCCUAACAGACACCAAUGAAUAGAUAAAAUAUAUCAACUUUAUACAUAACCAUAAUUAAUAAAUGAUAUCAAAACAUGUUAUUAUAAAAAAAUGUUUAAAUUGAUAAUCAAUUAACGAUUCUUUUUUUAGAUAUACAAAUUAAACAUGGAGCAUCAAAACAAUGGAUUAAAGAUUUUUAAAAAAUAAAUUAAUAUGUGAUCAUCAAAACAAACGACUAAUAACUUUAUACAUUGGAUAAUGGGCCGAUGUCCAUGACUUUCAUCCAACCCAAAUCAUAAAAAAGGGUAGAUACUAUUCAUGACAUAGCAUUUAAAGGAUUUUAUUUUUUUUUCGAAAGAAGGAUCAAAUAAGUUUUCGUGAAAUAGGAUACUCUAGUGAAAGGAAUGAAAAAAAAAAAAAGAAGACAAAUCUUGUCAAGACAAUGAGAAGUAUACAUCAACGAAAAAAAUAAAUAAAUUUAACACCCAACUUAAAAAUUUGUAUAGUUUUGGGAAGUAUCAUGCCAAGUUAAAAUAACCUAAUUAAAAAAAAUUGUAGAUAGAGAGUGCUAAUUUCGUCGAUCUUUAUAAAUCUGAUAACAUGAGCAGGCAUCUUGACUUGCACCCAUUAACAAAUAAAUGUUCUACUAAUAUUGGCUCUGUCAUAAGCAACCUAAGAGUUAAAAUAAAGAAAAAAAGAACAAUGGUGUUAUUCACCUAAUUUCAAAUAUAAUAAUGAUAUCCACUUUCGACUUCUAUCGAAAUAGAAAUUAGAUAUAAUUAUUAGGUUAGAAACAUCUCAUAUAUAUUAAUUCAAACUUUCAUUUACACCUUGAAUAAAGAAAUCCUUCAUUCUAUCUAAUGUCUUUGAUACAUCCUUACAUUUCUUUCUACCUCAUAUUGUAUUUAUGAGAUCAUUAUCUUCAUUUCAUAUCUUUUUCUGUUGAUAACUUAAAAUAUCGAACUUACCAUACAACUAAAAUAAUAAAAAACUCAAUCAAUGAGUGAUCAUCAAAACAAACAACUAAUAACUUUAUACAUUUGGUAAUGGGCCGAUGUCCAUGACUUUCAUCCAACCCAAAUAAAAAAAAGGGUAGAUACCAUUCAUGACAUAGCAUUUAAAGGAUUUUUUUUUUUCAAAAGAAGGAUCGAAUAAGAUUUCGUGAAAUAGGGUAUUCCAGUGUAAGGAAUGGAAAAAAGGAAGACAAAUCUUGUCAAGACAAUGAGAAGUAUACAUCAAUGGAAAAAAAAAAUUAACACCCAACUUAAAAAUUUGUAUAGUUUUGGCUGUAUCAUGCCAAGUUAAAAUAACCUAAUUAAAAAAAUUGUAGACAGAGAGUGUUGAUUUCGUCGGUCUUUAUAAAUCUAAUAGCAUGAGUUGACAUCUUGACCUACACCCAUUUACAAAUAAAUGUUAUACUAAUAUUGACUCUAUCAUUAGCAACCUAAUAGUUAAAAUAAAGAAAAAAAGAAUAGUGGUGUCAUCCACCUAAUUUCAAAUAUGAUAAUGAUAUCCACUUUUAUUUUCUACUGAGAUAGAAAUUAGAUAUAAUUAUUAGAUUAGAAACAUCUCAUAUAUAUUAAUUCCAACUUUCAUCUACACCUUAAUAAAGAAAUCCUUCAUUCUAUCGAAUGUGUUCGAUUCAUCUUUACAUUUCUUUCUACCUCGUAUUAUAUUUAUGAGAUCAUUAUCUUCAUCUCAUAUCUUUUUCCACUUAUAACUUAAAAUAUCAAACCUACCAUACAACUAAAAUAAUAAAAAAAACCCCAUCAAUGAGGUCUCAUUUCACAAAAAUUGGAAUGGCAGAUGUAUUCUAUUAUUGGUGGGCCUCAGAGGAAUUUUAACAUUUCAGCAUUGGGCCUCCUUUGCAGCCAAGUCGUCAUGCUAUCAUUUAAGAAACCUCUUGCCGCAGUCUGCGUUAUGGAAGAGGAGCUGAACUCCACUGCCUACACUGCCAUUGAUAACCCAGUUGGUGUGAGAUUCUUCACAAAAGAUGGGCAAGAUCUAGAAGAUAAUAGUACUGCUCAUUGAGAUUUACCCAAAAAGAAAAAAGAAAAAGAAAUGAAGAUAAAAAAGGGAAAAUUGGGAUUCUUCAUUUUUAUAAUUGGUACAAAUUAAUAAAAUAUAAUUUCAUGGAUCACGAAGCGAAACAAAACCACAUAUACUUUUUUGCAUGUUGACAAUGUCAUGACCCAAAUUCCGGGCGACCCAAAAUUUGGCCAGUGAUCCUAGGUCAAAGGUUUGACCCCAAGGGUUUCUCUUAUUCCACGUUGGCAGUCAACUAAAACACUCUAAUUUUUUUUUUUUUUUUCAUAUAAGUCCCACUAGGGUUCUCACCAACUAACAAUAUUUUAAACCUUACUUAAACACAUCAAGAUUUAAUAAACAUCAUUGCAUCCCAAAAUAAAAUUUCAUAAAAAUCCCCUUAAUCAAACUAAGGUCUUAUUACAUUAUCCAUAAUUCACUUAUUACAAGGUCUCAAUACCACAACACAAUAAAAAAAAAAAACCUUUUCCACUAAACCGCUUCAGGGGCAUCCUGAAGUCCUCCCUGUCCCAUCUGUGGAUCCUUAGGAGUGAUAUCUGCAUCUAAAAAUAUAUAAAAAGAAAGGAGUGAGCAUUUCCACAUUGCUCAGUAGGGUGCCUAACACCCAAAUGGUUAAUGGAGGAUUACUAUAUUUUAAGAACCCAAAUGCAACAAUUCACCAAUAUAAAUCAAGUCACACAAUUUAACAUACAACACUAUACUUAAUUCCACAACAUCCACUCAUUAAAUGAAUACAUAUAAACGUGUGACACACAAUCAUACAAUGCACUAUCGUUCUCGGGCUUUCACCGAAAGAUACGCGUCCGCACCCAAAUAUACUCCCCAUUUGGAGUCUUCCCGGGGUAAACUUUUGGGUCUUUCACCCUAGGGAUCUCUCUCCCUUCUUAGUUCGUCUCACACGGGCUUUCACUUUUCAUCACUAUUUUAUUUUUUUCCAUUUCAUACACUUUUCACAAUUUUUUUUUUUCAUUUCUUCAUACAACCAUGAUGCAAAUGAAUGCCACAAAUUCCAAAAUUCCUUAAUAAUUUCUACAAUUCCAAUAAUUUCAACAUUCUCAAUAACCCAAUAAAAUAAAAUUUUCACAUUAAAAUUCCCGAAAAUAUACCAAAAAAUUUUCGAAAAUUCAAACAUCAAUAUACUUGAAUUUAUAUCACAAUUUCAGAAUUUUUCAAAAACUCUAAUAAUUCCCAAUAUUUGAAAAUAACUAAUUUUUCACAAUAAAAUUACCGCAAAUAUUCCAAUCAAUUUUCAAAAAUUCAUAAGUCACUAGAUUUAAAAUCUUGCCCUAAUUCCGGAAUUUUCCUACAUUUCUAGCAAUUUUUAACAACCUAAAAUAAUUAUUUAUUAAUUACAAAGAAUUCCGGAAAUUACAAAAAAAUCCAAAAAAAAUCCCAAAUCAUUCCAAAAAAUUCACACAACAUCAAAAUUACCUAAUUAACUCAUAAUUAUCAGAUUUAUAAUUUUUUUCCAAUGAAAAAUACAUUAAAUUUAAGUUUUAGGGUUAGUUUUCCCCUACCUCAUAUAUGAAAAUUUGGCCGUUAAAAACGAAAUCAGCCAUCGUAGACUUGUUCCUCUAGUCGAAUAGAGCACCUCCACCGAAUUUGGGCCGAAACAGAGGUUGUUUGCCCAUCCAAACGGCCGGUCAAAGAUCCGGCGAGUGACCAAAUUUUCUGCAGUAGCCCCCCUCUCUCUCUCUCUCUCCCCGCGUGCUGCCCAUUUUCCAAUUCUCCCCUUUUUCCUUUUUUUUUUUUAACAACAAAGACUUCCUACCACCAGCCCAUAUCUAAGCCUAAUCCAUGACAUCACCCACUUAAGCCCAACUCCAUUAUUAUUAUUAUUUUUUUUCUUUUACAACCCAUUACCUUAAACGGCCAAUAUUUAAAGCCCAAUGAAUAUUUUUAUUUUAUUUAUUUUAUUUUAUUUUCUUUUCUUUAUUCUAAUUGUUUUAUUUGAUUUCCAAUUCAUUUUUUUUUAAUUUUCCGGAAAAUUUCAAUUUCUAAAAUCCUAAGAAAUUUUCUACCCUAAGGCUGACAUGGCAUAAAAUUUCAACUCGUUUAAUUGACCGACACAAUAAAACGAAAUUCACCAAUCCGAAAUUGACACGUGUUCUCCAAAUACUUUUCUUUUUGACUUUUCAAUCAUAACACAAAAUAAGACUUUUUAAACUAAAAAUGUUAACGUGUCAUAAAAUACCCGGACAAUCUAGAACACCUAAGCAAAGAUAUAUCAUAAACAAAUUUUGGCUUUAUCAGGACUCUUAACAGCCUUCAGAUCUGAACCCAUCUUUCUCUUAUGUUUGUCAUCAACACAACCAUGGAAAUUACAUGGCUAAGCACAUCUCUAUGUCUUCUCUUUCUCUUGUUUGCUUUCAAUAUCUUCCUCCAAAGAAGAAGAAUACAUCCCCACCUCCCACCAAGCCCGCCUGCUAUUCCGAUUCUUGGUCACCUCCAUCUCCUCCUUAAACCACCAAUUCAUCGGCAAUUACAGAAUCUUUCUAAAAAAUAUGGUCCUAUCUUCUCCCUUCGCUUCGGAUCCAGUCCUGUUGUUAUCAUAUCCUCUCCGUCCACUGUUGAAGAAUGUUUCACCAAGAACGACAUCAUUUUUGCCAACCGGCCUCGCUUGCUGAUCGGCAAGUACAUAGGCUACAACUACACCACUAUUGCUUCAGCAUCAUAUGACGAACACUGGCGCAAUCUCCACCGCCUCAGCGCACUGGAAAUCUUCUCCUCAAAUCGCCUCAACAUGUUUCUAGGGAUUCGCAGGGAUGAAAUCAAGAUUUUACUACACCGAUUGUCUCAGAAGUCAAGGGACAAUUUUGCAAGGGUAGAGUUGAGACCGAUGUUUACAGAGCUAACAUGUUAUAUUCUAAUGAGAAUGGUUGCAGGAAAGAGGUACUAUGGGGAAGCUGUGGAUAGUGAGGAAGGCAAGCAUUUUCAGAAAAUAAUGAGAGGGAUUUUUGAACUGGCUGGGGCGUCAAAUCCAGGAGAUUUUUUGCCUUUACUACGGUGGGUUGAUUUUGGGGGUUAUGAGAAAAGUUGGUGAAGCUCAAUAGAGAGAAAGACGUGAUCUUCCAAGGUCUUAUUAAGGAGCAUAGAAGUCCUGACCAGGGUCUAGUGAAUAAAAACAGCAUGAUCGAUCAUCUGCUUUCACUGCAAAAAUCAGAGCCAGAAUAUUACACAGACGAAAUCAUAAAAGGGCUUGCACUGGUGAGUGAACUUCUGCGUUUUUGUCUUUCAGAAACAGGUCGCCAAAAAGAAUAAUUCUAUUUAAGCCUUGGCUUGCUGGUUCGCUUCUUAGAAAAGACACUGACCAUAAAUGAUUCAUUUGCCAUUAAGUCUGCAGGAGAUCAAGCGCUGCAUAUUCUUUUAGCGCUGCAUAUUCAGUUUUAUUUUCAUUGAUAACAAAAUUUUGCAGGUGUGAGGAAAUAAAGAGUGAAAAAGCAACAAGAAAUGAUGUCCUACUUUUCGUUUUCAAUAUUUCUCAAAUCUAUAAAUAUUGCAUUGCGCAGAUCUUAAUUUUUGCUGGUACUGACACUACUGCGACGACAAUAGAAUGGGCUAUGUCUCUUCUACUCAAUCAUCCUGAUGUUUUGAAGAAAGCUAGAGCAGAAUUGGACACUCAUGUUGGAAAAGAUCGUUUGACGGAAGAAUCAGAUUUCCCCAAAUUACAAUAUCUUCGAAGUAUCAUUUCUGAAACCUUAAGAUUGUUUCCGGCAACCCCACUUUUGAUGCCACAUAUUUCUUCAGACAAUUGCCAAAUAGGAGGAUUUGAUAUACCAAGAGGCACAAUAUUAUUGGUCAAUGCUUGGGCCAUUCACAGAGACCCUAAGUCGUGGAAAGAUCCUACAAGUUUCAAGCCAGAGAGGUUCGAAAAUGAGGAAGGUGAGGCAUACAAGCUAUUGCCAUUUGGCUUAGGAAGAAGGGCUUGCCCCGGUGCUGGCCUGGCUAAUCGAGUGAUAGGUUUGACUUUGGGGUUAUUGAUUCAGUGUUAUGAGUUGGAGAGAGCUAGCGAGAAGGAGGUUGACAUGGCUGAAGGGAAAGGAGUCACCAUGCCCAAAUUGGAGCCAUUGGAAGCCAUGUGUAAAGCUCGUGCUAUUAUCAGAAAGGUAUUAUAAAACAAUGAAGCGACAUCUGGUUGAUGUUAGCAUUAUUAAUUGUCAUAUAUUUGUGUCAUACAUUUUAUCAGUGUGCUCAUCAUAUAUAUUUGUUAUGUUAUUUUAGCUAGCCUAGUCUAAAAAUAAAAGAUUAUGAUUAUGUAAACUUUUUUUUGUUAUUUUUUUCUUAUCUAAAUGAGCAAUUUUGUUAUAUAGUUUUCAUGCCAAAAAUAUUAAACAUUCAUCAUAUACAAUAACCUAAAUUGAAUAAUUAUAGAUAUUGCAUCAAUUAGUCCCAUUACCAACUAUUUUUAAAAAAUAUGUUAAAGCUUGCAGUCCUUGCUUCUCGAAAGGCAGUUAAAUUGCCUACAAUUAUGCCAUGUUAUGCAUCCUUAGCACAUUAUGGUGACCCAAUAGGGCAAUCUCCCCCACCUUGGCUUUCUUGGAAUAUUCCCUUCAAAUUGUCUUAACAUGCUUUUGGGUUUCAACAUGCAAUGGCUUUUUCCCAAAGAGCUUUUGGAAGUGUCUUGACCUUCAACAUGCUUCUUGUCAUCUCUACUAGGGUUAUGUUCUUCCUUUUGUUUAUACCGUUUCAUUGAGGUGUAUAGUUAAUUGUUAAUUAUUGUCAAAUGCCCUGACUUUUAUAAUAAUUAUAAAAUUCAUUGAUGGUAAAUCCUCCUAUAAUUAUCAGAUUCUAAUAUCUUAAUAUUGCAACUAUUCUGUCUUUCAACAAGAAUUUUGAAAUCUUUAAGCUUGCUAAAAACCUUAUAUUUUUCUUUUAACAAAUAAAUCCAAGUUUUUUCUUAUAAAAUCAUCUGUAAAGGUCAAUAUAUAUUUGUUAUAAUUAAGAGAUUUUAUCUCAUCAAAUCAUAUACACACGCACCAAAUCUAAAGGUUUAACUCUUUUGGAUAUUCUAAUUGAAAAAUGAUUCCUAUGUUGUUUCCUAAGUAGACAUUCUUCACAAACAUGAUAUGGAUCAUCAAUUAGUGAUAAUCCUAUCACCAUAUUCAUAUGCACCAAGAGCUUCAACCCAUGAAAAUUGAGAUGACAAAAGGGAAGAUGUCAAAGCCAAUUGCAAUCUUCUACAAUUGCCUUCAAAUAAAAUGAAGUUUUGGUUGAAAAAACAUAGGAAAUAUCAUAUUUUUUUGUCAUCUACACAUUUGAAAUCAUCUUCUUAUUUUUAUCAUUAAGAGUACAAACUCUACUAAAAAUACUAAUGAUAUGUUUUUUUUUGUUAAUUGUCCCAUGCUAAACAAAUUAAAAAAAAAUCUAAUACAAAAAAUAGAUCUACUAUGGUAACAUUAGUGACAUAUUUAAAUGUAUUUUAAUAUUAUCUUUGCCCAUGAUUGAGACUUUAAAUUUACUUCCAAAAUUAACUUUUCAUUUAACUGAUUCAUCAAAUUGCAAAAACAAUUUUUUCUUAUCACACGUGUGAUUGUUCCGUUUUGUAUCAAAGAACCAAACAUCUUUAUGGUUUAUGUUAGAUGUUGUUACAUUAUAGACCAAUAUCAAAUUCUACUCAACCUCAAUGGUGUUUGUCGACUCUAUUUGUUCAUUCUAUAAUUUCAUUCGACAUUUUGAAUUGUAGUGUCCAUACCACUUACAUCUAAAACAUUAUAAGUGUGACUUGUCUUUAGAUCCAAGAAUGUUGACCAUUCCUCUAGAAUAAUUUUUAUUAUAUCCCCAUCUCUAUGAUUGGAGUUGUUGUGUCCUCCUCUACAUCCAUAACCUUGACCUUUGCUACUUUAUUGAUCAUCGUGACCUCUUGUAGACGUUUUACUUUUCAAGACCUACUCCAAACUAGUAGAGUCAAUUAUUUUAUUCAUCCAUUAUUCACGUGAAUACUUACGCUCAUCAACCCUUCAAUUGUGAAAGUGAAGAUAUUUCUUCUUUCUUCAUUUAAUUACAACAACAUAUUCAAAUUUUGCAUGUAAAGAUCGUAUGUAUGACUUUCUCUUAUAUUUUUUUUAAUCAUCAAGCCUUUCACCAUUAACCCACAUCUAGUUUAUAAGUACCCAAUCAAAAUAAUGUGAGAUCAAUUUAGAGUCAUUAAUCAUACGGAGAGACUUGAAUUCACAUCUUAAUGUUCGUAGCGCCAUUCACUUGACAUGAUCAUUACAUUAAUUUAUAUAAUUUGUGUAGAUUAAUUUAUACCUUUAUUUAUUUUUAUGCUUCUACUUUUGAAAUUUUCUCAAGUAUGGAUUCAUUUUCUGCUUAGAAUAUUGCAUAGAGUGCUUAUAUAUAUAUAUAAGAAUAUUUCAAUAAGUCUUUUUACUCCUUUGAUAGUGUCUCAAAUUCUUUUGAAUCAACCACUUUGUUAUAGUCAUGAUCUAUUAAACGCUAUAAAUCUUAAGAUCUAAAUAAGACAUACAUUUAAUCCACUAGUUACUAAAAUUCUUACUUGUGAAUUUUAAGAGUUGAGGUUGAAUUAAUUUGUAAUUAUUUACCGUCAUAAUAUCGCUGACCAAAUUGUAACUUUCUUGUUAUCUAUUUUGCAUAUUCUUAGGUAUUAUGGUACUUAUCUUCUCGUUUUUCACCCUCCGUAAUCUUUUGGCUUUGAUAUGAACAAUACUCUUAUUCUUAUACCACUUGUUGGUAGCUCUACUCUUCUAGCUUUUCACCUUUCUUGAUCUUUUAUUGUUUUUACAUUUUUUUCAACAUAAUAAACUAAUCAUAUUUACACUAUACUUCCAAUUUAUAAUUAAAAGAAAAAGGUUUGAGAGUUGAAUAGCUAUGUAUCCAUGUAAACUUUGUUUCAACGUAAUUAAUAAAUAAGAGUUAAUAUGAUUCAAACUAUCAUUAUAACUCAAAGUGAAAAGAAAAGAAAAAAUAGCUUCAAGCCAAGAUAAUAAGAUAAUGAAAUUGAGAUAAAUACCAAUAUUUAUUAUAAAUGAAAAAAUAAUGAUCUAAGAAAGUCUCUUGCAUCCAUAAUAAUUACAAAAAAAAAAAAAGGUUAGGGACACUAAAUAGCUUUGUAUCCACAUAGCUUCUUAUAGGACAAAAUUAAUUAAUAAAUAAGGAGAUAGAGUGUAUUUGAUAAUGAUUUUAGAAAAUAUUUUUUAGUCUUUUUCAUACUUGAAAUAUUUAUUUUUCAAGAAUUAGAAAUGGUAAAAAUAUUUUUCAAAAUUACGUACUAUCAAACACAGUGUUAAUUUCAUUCAAAUUAUCACUAUAAACAUGAUUAGUAUUACAUAUGUACUUAGAAAACCUCCUAUCUGUCCAUAGAAAUGUUAGUUUCACUUUCAACUUCCUCACAACAAAGUUACAUGAUCAUCAGACUUGGCUAAGUAUUGGUAAAAGAAAAAUGUACAUUCAAAAAAUAAAAAAUUAAACCCAACUUUUAAUUUUGUAUGGUUUUGGCAGUAUCAUGCCAAGUCAAAAUAAACGGAUAAAAAUUGUAAUAUUUAUGCCAAAAAAAUAACAAGCAUUGUUGAUUUGGUCAUUUUUGUUAGCUCUUCAUUCAUCAACCUUUAAUUCAACAAUAUAUGUUUUAGUCUAGAAAAAAAUGCCAAUAAUUAUAAUAGAAUAUUAUAAUUCUACAUCGUACAUGUUCACAAGUGGAAUUCAAUUUAACUUUAAUCUUGCAUACUCUUAUAGGUAAUUAUGUAAAAAUGUUAUGGUAUCUUAUUUCUUAGUCUAUGUUUGGUUUCCAUAAAUAAUGAGGAAAAAAAAUGUUAAAGUUGGUUUUAAUAUAAAAAGAUACAAAAUAAAAUCAAAUAUAAUGAAAAUUAACUACAAAUUUAUAUAUUUUAAAAUUAUUUAAUUUGUAUAUAUUAAAAAAAAUAAAUGAAAUGAGUUUGAAGAACCAUAUGAAAAUAAUUUAUUAAUUUCAAAUUUUCUUUUUCUCAAAUUUUCUUUCAUUCCAUUUUCCUUCCUAUUUUCUUUCUUUCACAUUUUUCCUUAAAUUUCCCGAGAACCAAACAUAGUCUUAUAUAAAUUAAGGACUGUUUGGUAAUUGUUUUCGAAAAUAAUUUUCUAUUCUAAAAAUUAAAACCAAGAAAACAUGUUUAGCAAUUAGAAACUGUUUACUGUUCUUAAAAACAGAAAACAAGGUAUUUUAAGAUAACAAUUUUUAGUUGUUUUAUGUUAUUUUCACUUGUUUUCUAAGGGUUAUUUUAAAAAAGAAUUAUACAAUUAUGUAAAAUGAUUAAAAAUAAAACAUUGGAUAAACAUAUUAAAAAUAAGUUAAAAACAUUUCAGGUUUCUAAACGUACUUUUGUUUUACACAAUAUUAGAUGACAGUUUUUAAAAAUUAUUUUCAAAAAUUGUUUUUUAUAACUAUUUUAGAAAAUAAUUGCCAAACACGACUGAGUAAUCUUAUGGAUAAUUGACCAAAAUAACAGAUAAACUAAAUAGGAUGAGGGAAUAAAUAGUAUCAUGACCUCGUAAAUCUGAUAGCAUGAGCUAUCAAUUGACUUGAGAACUUAAAUUGUGUAGGAAUGGGGCCAUAAUUUAUACCUCUAUAACAACCACUAGCCUGCAAACUUAUUUUCGUGUCUGUUUUCUACCUAAUAAUUAAUAGAUGAAGAAGGAAACACAAAUCAAUGGAGAAGGAUGCUUAAUCCAACUUGAUCAGCAUCCAUUAACAAAUAAUUUUCUACUAACAUUGGCUGUGUCAUCAGCAACCUAAAAGUUAAAAUAAAGGAAUAAAACAAUGAUAUUUGGGUCAUUAAUUGACCUAUUUUCCGAUAUAAUAUAAUGAUGAUCUUCUCCCUCCGCUUCGGAUCUCGUCUUCUUGUUAUCAUAUCCUCUCCAUGCACGGUUGAAGAAUGUUUCACUAAGAACGACAUCAUUUUUGCCAACCGGCCCAUCUUUUUGUUUGGCAAGUACAUAGGCUACAACAACACCAUCGUUACUUCAGCACCGUAUGGCGAACACUGGCGCAAUCUCCGCCGCCUAAGCGCACUGGAAAUCUUCUCUCCAAAUCGCCUCAACAUGUUUAUAGGCACCCGCAGGGAUGAAAUCAAGAUUUUACUACACCGAUUGUCUCAGAAUUCACGGGAUAAUUUUGCAAGGGUAGAGUUGAGACUAAUGUUUACAGAGCUAACAUGUAAUAUUAUAAUGAGAAUGGUUGCAGGAAAGCGGUACUAUGGGGAAGAUGUGGAUUUUGAGGAAGCCAAGCACUUUCAUGAAGUAAUGAGAGGGGUUUUUGAAUUGGCUGGGUAUCCAAUCCAGGAGAGUUUUUUCCUUUACUACGGUGGGUUGACUUUGGGGGUUAGGAGAAGAAGUUGGUGAAGAUCAAAACAAAGAAAGAGGUGAUCUUCCGAGGUCUUAUUGAUGAGCAUCGAAGUCCUAGCCGGGCCCUUGUGAAUAAAAACAGUAUGAUCAAUCAUCUGCUUUCAAUGCAAAAAUCAGAACCAGAAUAUUACACAGAUGAAAUCAUAAAAGGGCAUUCAUUGGUAACUUCAGUAUUGCAGGCAAACUGAUUCUCUUUAAGAUAUACCACUUUUGCCAAAAGAAUAAUGCUAUUCAAACCUAAAUUGGCCAGUUUGCUUCUUAGAAAAAACACUGAUCAGCAUAAAUGGUUCUAUUUUUGUUAAAAAAAAUUAGGUCAUAUGCGCGCCAUUAAGCGUGCAGGAGAGGCAAGCCAACAAAAGUUGGGAAAUCAAGCAAUUUUUUUUCUACGAGUCAAAGGAAUGGCCCCCUGGCCUCUGAUUUCCAUAUAAAGGACAAAGACAUAAAUAUCCUCUUUAACUGCUAUUAUGAUGGACUGAAUAUCUUUCAUAAGUAAUCGGAGGAAGAUCCGACGAUUUUUUCCAGAAAAUCCCCAACGAAAAAUACACACUAUUCCUUCUUUUCUAUCGAAUCGAUCAUAACCACUACCUACAUUCCACGAAAUUGUGCACCACAAAUAGGAGCUAAUAAAGAGACCGACAAUCCCGUAGAAAGACAUCACGAUCCCUUGUGGAAAAAAAAUUAUUUGCUGAGACGGAAAUAAAGAUAUCAAAUUCCUACCAAAAUAACUGGAAGUUCCAACCAAUAAGAACCCUAAUGAACCUAAAAAAAGGAUAAAGGCCCAACAAAAAUUACUUAUUUUUCGAGACCUCGUUAUAAGUUCUAUCCACUCUACUAGGUGUUCUGCCAGUGGCUUCUGGGGGUAUUCACGUUUGGCAUAUGCCUGCUCUGACCGAGAUCUUUGGAGAUGAUUCCAUACUACAGUUCGGUGGAGGAACUUUAGGACACCCUUGGGGAAAUGCACCGGGUGCCGUAGCUAAUCAAGUAGCUCUUGAAGCAUGUGUACAAGCUCGUAAUGAGGGACGUGAUCUUGCUCAUGAGGGUAAUGAAAUUAUCCAUGCAGCUAGCAAAUGGAGUCCUGAACUAGCUGCUGCUUGUGAAGUAAUUAAGGAAGGAAAUCUAAUUUGAAUUCCCAGCAAUGGAUACUUUGUAAUCCAGUAAUUAUUGUUCGUUUCCUAAAUUGAAUUGCAAUUAAACUCGGCCCAAUCUUUUACUAAAAAAAAAGGAUUGACCCGAAUACAAAAAGACUAUUGUAUGUAUAUAUUUUGGAUAGAUACAUACUUAUCUAGAUAUACAAUACAAAAUCUAAGACUAAACAACUCAAAUUUUCUAUUGUUGUGUUAGAUCCACAAUUAAUCCUAUGGAUCCUUAGGAUUGGCGUAUUCUUUUAUAUCUUGUAGUUUCUGUUUGAAAUGGAAAUCUAUAUGUAUGUAGAUAUCUAUAGGGGAUCAUAUGAGGGGGAUGUUAUUAUUUUAGAUUUAACCAAUUCGAUGAAUUACGCCUAAAGGUUCACAUCAGAAUAGUGCUAGUUGAUGAGAGUUACUUCGUAAACAAAAAGAGUAAAGUAAAAUGUAUUCCUAUAUGGGUUAUUCUCNNNNNNNNNNNNNNNNNNNNNNNNNNNNNNNNNNNNNNNNNNNNNNNNNNNNNNNNNNNNNNNNNNNNNNNNNNNNNNNNNNNNNNNNNNNNNNNNNNNNUGAAUUAAUUAAGGAAGGAAAUCUAAUUUGAAUUCCCAGCAAUGGAUACUUUGUAAUCCAGUAAUUAUUGUUCGUUUCCUAAAUUGAAUUGCAAUUAAACUCGGCCCAAUCUUUUACUAAAAAAAAAGGAUUGACCCGAAUACAAAAAGACUAUUGUAUGUAUAUAUUUUGGAUAGAUACAUACUUAUCUAGAUAUACAAUACAAAAUCUAAGACUAAACAACUCAAAUUUUCUAUUGUUGUGUUAGAUCCACAAUUAAUCCUAUGGAUCCUUAGGAUUGGCGUAUUCUUUUAUAUCUUGUAGUUUCUGUUUGAAAUGGAAAUCUAUAUGUAUGUAGAUAUCUAUAGGGGAUCAUAUGAGGGGGAUGUUAUUAUUUUAGAUUUAACCAAUUCGAUGAAUUACGCCUAAAGGUUCACAUCAGAAUAGUGCUAGUUGAUGAGAGUUACUUCGUAAACAAAAAGAGUAAAGUAAAAUGUAUUCCUAUAUGGGUUAUUCUCUCAAUUACAAUAAAAUACAACUGGAUCUAGUAUGAGUUGGCGAUCAGAACGUAUAUGGAUAGAAUGCUGCAUAUUAAUGGUAUAUCAAACGCAACUAGUAUUUGGAGUAUGAAAUUUCCAAUUUUUUUUUUUUUGUUUUUUGAGUAUUUAUAUUAAUGUUGGUGUCACAUGUGGUUUAAUUUUUCUCAAAGCUACAAAUAUUGUAUGCAGAUCUUAAUUCUUGUUGGUACUGAGAUUACUGCAACAACAAUAGAAUGGGCCAUGUCUCUUCUACUCAAUCAUCCUGAUGUUAUGAAGAAAACUAGAGUAGUAGAAUUGGACACUCAUGACAGAAAAGACUGUUUGAUGGAAGAAUCCGAUUUCCCCAAAUUACAAUAUCUUCAAAGUAUCAUUUCUGAAACUUUAAGAUUAUUUCCAGCAGCCCCAGUUUUGGUACCACAUAUGUCUUCAGAUAAUUGCCAAAUAGGAGGAUUUAAACAAGCAAGGCAUUAUCAACAAGCAAGGCAGAAGGUGAAGAAGAAACCCAACUCCCCAACUCCAUCAUUUUUGUCAAGAUGAUCACCACAUCAAAGCUUCUCCUUCAGCAGUUGGCCUCUUAAGUAGCCAACUUGCCACAACAUCAUUAAAGAAGAGGGCUAAUCUAUUAAUCAAUUCAAAUCAAAACAUUGGUUUGCCUUUUCAAAAUUAAAUAGAGUGAUUGUAUAUGCAUUCAUUCUCCAAAUUCCUUUGACUUCCCUUGUUGGAUAAAUUUUGUGAUAGCUUCUAUCAAAAAAUAAGACUAAUUAUAAUAGAUUAUAUGCAUAAUUUAAUUUCAUUACUUGCGUCUAAUUUAUAUUUUAGUCCGUUCUUUUGCAUGUGGUAUCAUUUAUUUUUAUAAGAUUUGUUGCUAGAUUUUAUUUAUUUUGGCAUAUGAAAAUUGUAUAAAGCUUGUAUAAUGAUCGAAUGAAUGACACUUGGCAUUCCACCGAAAACCUUGCCUAAUUAUUCAAUGAAUGAUAUUUGGCAUUCGGCCGCAACGUUCCCGAACCCUGUUAGGCAAGACGCGUGACAAGGAAUAACAACUGCCAUCCUUUACAUCUAAUCUCCUUCAUUGGAUUUCCAUAAAUAUUUUUGUCAUUGGCACAGUUAAAGAUGGAUACGAUCACGAGGAAAACAAUUUAAAAUGUUCAAGUAAAGUAGCUUUUGAAUAUAAGCUUGCGUGAGAAAAAAAAAUUAAGGUGGUUGUUUCCACUACGUACUCCAGUGCUUACCUUCAAUAGUCAACAUUAAGUUAAGUUUGAAUAGCAUAUGCAUAGAACCCAUCUUUCUCUUGAUCAAUAUGUCAUCAACAAAACCAUGGAAGCUACAUGGCUAAGUACAUCUCUAUCUCUUCUCUUUCUCUUGUUUGCUUUCAGUGUCUUCCUCCACAAAGAAGAACACAUCCCCGCCUCCCACCAAGCCCGCCUGCUAUUCCAAUUCUUAGUCAUCUCCAUCUCCUCUUGAAACAACCAAUUCAUCGGCAUCUACAGACUCUUUCUCAAAAAUAUGGUCCUAUCUUCUCCCUCCGUUUCGGAUCCCGUCUUCUUGUUAUCAUAUCCUCUCCAUCCACUGUUGAAGAAUGUUUCACCAAGAGCGACAUCAUUUUUGCCAACCGCCCUUGCUUCUUGUUCGGCAAGACUACAACUACACUACCAUUGCUUCAGCACCAUAUGGUGAACACUGGAGCAAUCUCCGCCGCCGCCUCAGCACACUGGAAAUCUUCUCCACAAAUCGCCUUAACAUGUUUCUGGGUAUCCGCUGGGAUGAAAUCAAGCUUCUAUUGCGCCAAUUGUCUCUGAAUUCAAGGGAUCAUUUUGCAAGGGUAGAGUUGAGACCAAUGUUUAUAGAGCUAACAUGUAAUAUUAUAAUGCGAAUGGUUGCAGGAAAUCGGUAUUAUGGGGAAGCAGUGGAUUUCGAGGAAGCCAAACUUUUUCGGGAAGUAAUGAGAGGGAUUUUCGAAUUGGCUGGAACACUGGCGCACCCUCCUCCGCCUCGUCAGCACACUUGAAGUAUUCUCUUCCAAUCACCUUCGCAUGUUCUAAGGCAACCGUAACGAUGAAAUCAGUCAUUUAUUCAUCGUUUGUCUUGGGAUUCCAGGGGUAAUUUUGUGAAGGUAGAGUUGCUGCUAAUAUUUAAUAUUAUAAUGAGGAUGAUUGCAGGAAAGCGCUACUAUGGUGAAGACCUGCACGUUGAGGAGGCGAGGCAUUUCCAAGAUAUUAUAGGGAAGAUCUUUGAAUUGGGCGCAACAUCAAAUCCAAUAGAUUUUUUUGCCUCUGUUGCGAUGGAUAGAUUAUGGAGGUUAUGAGAGGAAGAUGCAUGGCAAAUAGUAUAGUGUUAGAUGCGAUC
rnacentral:lncRNA from 1 species